GUCACUGUAGUAUGCUUAUUUUAAGUCCUUUGGGUCUGUCAGCUCCUUUGAAAUACCUUUUGAUAGUUCUUUCUAGUGGAGCUUUACAGAAAGACAGCAUUGCUAUUGGGGAAGACCAUGAAUUCUGGAGCCAUCCUUAUGGAGAAUUGGUGAGGUCCUAGGAUUUGAAAAUGAAUAAGACGUGGUGCUCAAGGAGUCCAUAACCCAGAGGAGGAGGAGAAAGGAAGAAGCCACAAAGGGAAUGGGCUAAGAUAUCAUGGAAACCUUGGAGAGGCGACUGAGUUGUGGGAGUGCAAAGAAGACUUCCUGGAGAUGUCAUCCAGGCAAAAUUAACCAGCAGGUAAGAAAACUGCAGCUCAGUUAAAAUAAGCAAACUGCCAAAACUCAAGUAAGUUACAAGAUGCAGACCUGGAACUAAAACCCAUGUUUCUGAAUUUAAGUCAAUUCAUUCAUACAAUAAAUAUUUAUUGACUA